rnacentral:rRNA from 1 species
CAGUAGCCGCGGGAAUACAGAGGGUGCAAGCGUUAAUCGGAAUUACUGGGCGUAAAGCGCGCGUAGGUGGUUCGCCAAGUUGGAUGUGAAAUCCCCGGGCUCAACCUGGGAACUGCAUCCAAAACUGGCGAGCUGGAGUAUGGUAGAGGGUGGUGGAAUUUCCUGUGUAGCGGUGAAAUGCGUAGAUAUAGGAAGGAACAUCAGUGGCGAAGGCGACCACCUGGACUGAUACUGACACUGAGGUGCGAAAGCGUGGGGAGCAAACAGGAUUAGAUACCCGCGUAGUCCCUGUCUCUUAUAA